UACAGAGGUCUCAAGCGUUGUUCGGAUUCAUUGGGCGUAAAGGGUGUGUAGGUGGCGCCGUAAGUCGGGUGUGAAAUUUCGGAGCUUAACUCCGAAACUGCAUUCGAUACUGCGGUGCUUGAGGACUGGAGAGGAGAUCGGAAUUCACGGUGUAGCAGUGAAAUGCGUAGAUAUCGUGAGGAAGACCAGUGGCGAAGGCGGAUCUCUGGACAGCUCCUGACGCUGAGGCGCGAAGGCUAGGGGAGCAAACGGG
rnacentral:rRNA from 1 species